UAAUACGAAGGGUGCAAGCGUUAGUCGGAAUUACUGGGCGUAAAGCGUGCGUAGGCGGUUUCUUAAGUCGGAUGUGAAAGCCCCGGGCUCAACCUGGGAAUGGCACUCGAUACUGGGAAGCUAGAGUGUGUCAGAGGAUGGUGGAAUUCCCGGUGUAGCGGUGAAAUGCGUAGAGAUCGGGAGGAACAUCAGUGGCGAAGGCGGCCAUCUGGGACAACACUGACGCUGAGGCACGAAAGCGUGGGGAGCAAACAGGAUUAGAUACCCUGGUAGUCCACGCCCUAAACGAUGCGAACUGGAUGUUGGGCUCAACUCGGAGCUCAGUGUCGAAGCUAACGCGUUAAGUUCGCCGCCUGGGGAGUACGGUCGCAAGACUG
rnacentral:rRNA from 1 species